CUUUCAUCCGUGGUUUCCCUUUAGGUAAUCAGUGGCCAGAGAGCUGGUGGGGAGGACCCAGAGGGGCUGGGCAGGCGGCACAUGGAGAGAUUAGACCCCACGUCAAGCAUGUUGUCUUAGCGGGUCACUUAAAGUCCAACGAGUACUUGUUUAUUUUGGUUGCUCCUUGUAAACCGUGGUGAGAUGGUCACGAAGAUAAUCGGGCUCUUCUCCCCUCUCCCCCACACGCUACUCCGCUUCACCGCGCCCUCUCCUUCUCCCUGUCCAUGAACAAGGCUCUUUUCAUCUGAUCCGAAUGCUUCUGGAUGAAUACAUUCUCCUGGCCAUGGAGACUCAGUUUAAUAAUGACAAAGAGCAAGAGUUACAGAAUUUAUUGGACAAGUAUAUGAAGAAUGCAGAUGCAAGUAAAGCUGCCUUCACUGCCUCCCCAAGUUCCUGCUUCUUGGCCAGCCGCAGUAGGGGAAGCUCAGUUUCUAGUGAGGCAGUGAAGAACGAAAGCCACGUGGAGACAGCCUGCCUUCCCCUGCCUUCUGGCCAGGCUGGAGGCCUGCCCCCUGCUCUGCAGCCCUUCCCUGCUGGGGCCCCGGACAGCAUGCAGCUCUCAGGUCCAAUGGAGCUUCCACAGAGCAGUGGUCCCCUGAUGACACCGCCCAUUUCCCCAGCCCUGGCCAGCCGAGGAAGUGUAAUUAACCAGGGCCCGAUGGCAGAGGGGCCCCCGAGUGUGGGUGCUGGGCUCCCGGUGCCCUCUCACUGCUCCUCGUACCCCGAGGCCAUUUACCCUGCCCUCCCCCAGGCCUCCCAUGACUUCUACGGGCCCAGCUCCAGCUACCAGACUAUGUUCAGGGCCCAGCCCCAUACCCCCCCAGGACUCUGCCCUCGUGCAGAGCAUGGCCGCUACAUGGCGUGGACAGAACAGCAGCUCUCCCGAGACUUCUUUGGUGGCAGCUGUGCUGGGUCUCCGUACAAUUCCCGGCCACCCUCCAGCUACGGGCCAUCUCCGCAUGCCCAGGAGUCACACAGCAUGCAGUUCGUCAACACAGGAAGCUUCAACUUCCUGAGCAACGCUGGGACUGCCAGUUGCCAAGGCGCGACACUGCCUUCUAAUUCACCCAACGGGUACUAUGGAAGCAACAUCAGCUACCCAGAGCCUCACAGGCUGGGACCCAUGGUGAACCAGCACGUCUCUGUCAUCAGCAGUGUGCGCUCCUUGCCUGCCUACAGCGACAUCCAUGACCCACUUAACAUCUUGGAUGAUGGCAGCAGGAAGCAGACUGGCUCCUUCUACACAGACACAUCAACUCCAGCUUCCAACUUGCAAACCCCAAUUCCUUCCUCUUCAUCCCAGUGUAUGUAUGGGACUUCCAACCAGUAUCCGGGGCAAGAGGCCCUGGACUCUCAUGGAGCAAGCAGUAGAGAGAUUGUGUCCUCUUUACCACCCAUCAACACUGUGUUUAUGGGAACAGCAGCCGGAGGCACCUAAACCAACCAUAUCAAGUGGAGUUGAGAUUUUAAACACCUCUGCAGUGCAGUUCACUCAGACUUCGAUGGAAUUGAGGAACAUGGUGGACUCAGCAGGCAGCUGGACAUUGUCCUUUGUGUCAUUCCUGCUACAGAUAACUCCACAGUGGAUGGAGAUGCUUGUGGUUGCCUUGACACACAUAGUUUAAAAUGUUAUCUCCUUGUUAAUCAUAGUUUUAAACACUAUCAAAGCAGUGGAGAUUUAAGAUGUAAACAUUUCAACUACAAGGAUUUACUAUUUUGCUCUUUAAUUUAUUGAAAAUCUGUAUGUUCCUUCCUCUUUGGUCUCUAAAAAAGAAAAAAGAGUGUAUUUAAUGUCUUUACAAUACCUUUAAUUUAUUAGGCUCUGAGAAUCAUUGUUUACUAUCUCUUGCUUGUUUGACCAAAAGUCAGAAGUGUAUGUUCUACCUCCUGUGGAAAUGUUUACAACGUCCACUUAAUUGGUUUCACCCCAGAGCAAAGUGGCUUGACUCUCAAUUCCUGGACACAAGUGGGAUGAUUCGUGUUACAUAGCAGUAGCCUAAUUCUGUGUAACUAAACAGAGAUGGCAAUGUUUUCCCUGUAUUUAAAAAGGUGAGAAUAAAUAAAAUAAAUAAUGUAUGGAAAUAUUUUUUAAAGUCUUGGUUGCUCUUGGCUGGUAUUGUUUCUGAAGGAAGCUGAGGA
rnacentral:lncRNA from 1 species